rnacentral:rRNA from 1 species
CCUACGGGAGGCAGCAGUGAGGAAUAUUGGUCAAUGGGCGGAAGCCUGAACCAGCCAAGUAGCGUGCAGGAUGACUGCCCUACGGGUUGUAAACUGCUUUUAUACAGGAAUAACGCGCCUUACGUGUAGGUCUUUGCAUGUACCUUAUGAAUAAGGACCGGCUAAUUCCGUGCCAGCAGCCGCGGUAAUACGGAAGGUCCGGGCGUUAUCCGGAUUUAUUGGGUUUAAAGGGAGCGUAGACGGUAUGUCAAGAGUGUUGUGAAAUGUCCGGGCUCAACCCGGGCAUUGCAGUGGGAACUGGCAUGCUUGAGUACGCGGAAGGCAGGCGGAAUGCGUGGUGUAGCGGUGAAAUGCUUAGAUAUGACGAAGAACCCCGAUUGCGAAGGCAGCUUGCUAAAGUGGAACUGACGCUGAUGCUCGAAAGCGUGGGUAUCGAACAGGAUUAGAUACCCUAGUAGUC